UUGGAACCCCGCACAUAGAGCCCCACACCCACACCUAGAACCCCACCAACCCUUUUGAGCUCUCCUCCUGGAAGUGAGCCUGAGAUGGGGCACGACUCAGUUUAAGCCUCCAGACACCAGCCUCUGAGCUGAGCCUGUGCAUUGCACCAGAGAUUACUGGCUGGAUGGAGCUAAAAUGCUGCUGGGGAUCAUGCUAACAAUUCAGUAAUAUGCUGUUCCAGUACUUGUGCCCCAGGUAGGAAAGUCAGUUUGUCAGAUGACAGCCGCUUUCCCAGCUGAUAUAGUUGCAUUCACCCUCCUUAAAUGCUCAAUGAACAGAGGAAUUUGGAAUAUUGCUGCUCUGUCACUGGGUCAGAUUCACCUUCUUCCUUCUUCUAGUUGCAAAAAGAAUAACUAUUUGAUCACC
rnacentral:lncRNA from 1 species